UAAAUGACCAGGUAGCAGUUAUUGAUCAGACCGCCUGUGUGCUUCUAGCAGAUGCGGCGAAUGAAGCUGAUGUAGGUAAUCUCGAAAACACAAAACUUUAAAAUUCGAUAUCUCUGGAACGAAACAUGUUCAUUUUUGUCGAUAAGUGAUUCUUAUGUAAAAUUGGCCGGGGAACACGAUGGUGAGGUCAAAUUAAAAAAAAAUAAGUUGGGCUGUUUCGAGAUACGGCCGUUUAAAGUUUUCAAUUGCGCAAUUCAGAUAGAAAAAAUAAAUUAAUCAACAUUUUGAUCACGGAAAUGGAUUCUACGUCCAAUUUCCUUCAAAAUUGAGUCUAAGACCGACCUUCUAUGAUUUGUGGUUCCUGAGCUAUCGCCGUUUGAAACUAGGAGGUUUGGUCAAAAAUCGUAAAAAAGUCGAUUUUUUGGGGAGGUACAAAAAUGGAGGGGGUGAUAGUAUCAACAGCUCUGCCAAAUUUGAGCAGGAUCGGAGAGGGUAAUUUUCAAAUGCUGUUCCGCUUCAGAUGGAAUGACCCAUAAGGCGUUUUGUGUUUUUUUCAGUUAUAGAUGAACUUGAAACAACACAAUCAGAAUCCUGAAGGAACCUGCUUGGGCGGAUGAAAUUUGUAUGAGAGGCGAAUCGAGGGAUGAACUUCAUAUAGUGGCGCAUCUGGGGCGACCCGCUGGCGGACCAACCUACAGGGGCGGCCGAACAGUAUCGAAAAAUUAAAAGUGCAACAUGGAGUUAAACUUUUUGUCAAGCUGCUGUGAAGUUUUCCAUGACAGCUGCGAAAGUUUCACUCCAUGUUACCGGCUCACAUCUCUCUUUUUAAUUUCUCGAUAUAAUAUGAGAGGCGCAUCAAGGGCGAACCAAGGCGGUUGGGGCUUUUUGGGCGGAUAAAUUUUAUAUGGGGGGUGAGCGAGUUGUGGCGCUAUAACCACGGCAAAUAGUGUCCAGGGCAUUCGUGGAAAUACAAUGUCCCAUCCCAGAGGGUCCCGGAGUACCAAACCUUCUUAGCAUGGUGCUCCCAACAAAUACAACCAAAUCACGGAGCGUAUGGUGGUGUAUCCCCACGCUUCUUCCUCCCCUGUCGAUUCAGAAUUGUGUUGUUGUUCGAACACUCUGUGCUCAAACUCAACCCAAUUACGAGUCAUCUCUGCGAUACGGCUUUACGCAGUAGGCCAGGCCGCAUUAACGCUUGUGAUGUUUCAAUGCAUUCUAAUGCAAUGGUGCACUACAAAUGUUAAGGAGAUUUCUAGGCGUCAUCUAACCUAAGGCACUCUCCAGGAUCCCUUCGAAAGAUUGGCUGCGCUAGGGUCUGAUUAGAUUAGGAUGAAUUUUAUAUGGGGGGCGUAUCAAGGGCGACCCGCUGGCGGACCAACCUACAGGGGCGACUGAACCGUAUAUGAGAGGCACAUCAAGGGCGAACCAAGGCGGUUGGGGCUUUUUGGGCGGAUGAAUUUUAUAUUGGGGGCGUACCAAGGGCGACCAGCUGGCGGACCAACCUACAGGGGCGGCCGAACCGUAUAUGAGAGGCGCAUCAAGGGCGAACCAAGGCGGUUGGGGCUUUUUGGGUGGAUGAAUUUUAUAUGGGGGCGUAUCAAGGGCGUCCUGCUGGCGGACCAACCUACAGGGGCGACUGAACCGUAUAUGAGAGGCGCAUCAAGGGGGAGCCAUGGCGGUUGGGGCUUUUUGAGCGGAUGAACUUUAUAUAGGGAGCGACCCGCUGGCGGACCAUCAUACAAGGGCGGACGAACCGUAUAUGAAAGGCGCAUCAAGGGCGAGUCAUGGCGGUUGCAGCUUUUCGAGCGGAUGAACUUUAUAUACACAGAAAAAAAAUGUAAAUUUACCCAACACUGAAACCAUGUUUUCAACGUAAACAAGCUCAAUGUAAAUUUGAAAUCCGUUGUAAACAGUUAUAUUGCACUUAAACAACCUUAUCGUAAAUUGAGAUUCAAUGUAAUGCUUAAAUCUCACGUAAAUGGAAAUUUUGAUUCUGAGAAAUCCUAAAUUUGAAACUUGGAAACACAUGUAAAGUUGUUUUUGAUGUAAAACUUCGUCAAUGUAAACUUACAGAGCAUUUAAAUUUAAUUCAAAACCAUAUUUUCGAAAAUGACAGCUCAAGCGAGUGACGAAAAUCAGUGCCUGCAAAGUUGUGAAUGUUUUGCGCGCAGCAUUUUAAAGCUAUUUUGGAUCAAGUUCUCGAUUUUAUGGAAACAAAAUCUUGACAAUCGUUAUACUGGGUGCAAGUAAUUCUAGACUAUUGGAAAACAAUGGAUGCCGAUUAGGUAACUUGGAAUAAAUCGUGGGAGGUAUAACUAGCUAAACAAUGUAAGAGCACCGUUGCCGAAGUGUAAACAAAGAGUCCAUCCUGCUCGUUCUUAAUGUGAACAUCAAUAGUUGAACAACAAUCAGUUACUGACGUUAGAAGGAUAGACUCUUUGUUUACAAUUAGACAUUGGCUUGAUAUGUUUGUUGUUUUAGUGAUGAGAUGGCUCAACUUUCAAAAAUUGCGUAAGUAUUUACAAUUAAUGCACUAGUAUGGUAAUAAAUUGUAAAUUGAAACUUAUUCAGGACACAAACAUUCAGUCAUUCAGCGUCCAACCGCUUGAGGCUGGUUCCGCUGUAAAAUGGAGGAGGAAAUAAUGUUCAAAAUUAAUGCCGGAAGCCGGAAGGCAAAGAGCAAACGGAAUCUGGAACAUGGAACCACGGCAGACUAGCUGGAUGACCUUGUGGAAAACUUGGCGUGAAAUACUGCACCGAAACUGACCGAGUAGGUAAGCUUCCUAAGAGCUAACGAGCGGGAAUCGAUCUUGAAGUUUGAACUCUGGUACCGAUGGAUUCCGGCAUGUGCCACCGUACCGGGGCACUAAUAGUCGAUGGGACUUCUUCACAGCAUCGGUAGCGGGUCAGCGGGACACUUUUACGGGUAGCAAUUUUUGCCAGCUGCUUGCUCGAAACCUUUUCCGGCGGAUCACUACUGCAGCUGCAUACACUUUUGCUGGCUGGUUUUUCUCGAAAACCAUGAUUUUUUCCUAGUUUUUGCCACGAUUAAAACGAAAUUUCACACAUUCAAGCGCAUUUACAAUUUUUAAACUUUCUUGUUUUGUAUAAAAACUAGAUUGUCAAAGUUGUCGGAGUUACAAACACGGCUAUUCUAGCAUACAAAUAAUUUUGAUACAUUCAACUCCGACAAGAAGUGCACUGUAAUUUGCAAAACACAGAUUUAUCAAAAUGUGAGUAAGAAGGGAAAAUUAUAAGGUAAACUUUAAUUCCUGGAGUAACAUUUGAAAAGGCGGUACGACAUUGCUCUUACGGCCUUUUAAUACCCGCGUUUAAGAGCAUUGUCGGACCGCUUUCAAAUGUUGCUCCAGGCUUUAGUUUCUGUCAUUCUAUAUUUUGCAAGAGAUCUUCGACAACAAUGUUAUACUUGACUUACAGUAAUGUAUAAAAGUUUAUUUAAAAAUAUGUUUAAUUGUAUAAGGCUUUGUAGGCCCGCAAAAAAAUAUAAUGCGAAUUCUUGCUAAAAUGUUUGAUGAUAGGUUUAGUUUAAACAUUUUUAAGACUUUUAAAUUUUUGGUAAUAUAAAACAAAUUGUUUAUCCAUGCUUUUGAUAUUUUUUAAAAAUAUGUAUGGAAAUUUUGUUACGAGGGGGAAGGGGGUAAAAAAAUCCGAUUUUUUGCGUUACGUAAUAAAAGAAAGCUCCCAUACUAGUUAAAAAGUUUUUAAUGUACCAUUCUCUUAGGGGCUGGACAUCAAACUUAUUUCGCACUUAAAAACUUUGCUCCUUGGGAUUUGGACUCAUGACAUAUGAAAUAUGAAUUAAAUUGAUUAACAUCUGAUUCAGGCAAGCAAAAAUCUAUAAAAAAUUUAUUGAAAACGGAAAAAUAAGUGUUGAAAAUUCCUUUAGCAACAAUACAUCAUUAUAGUUGCACCUUGUUUAUGAUAAAACUACACAAGUUUUCAAAGUAUUUGUCAUUUCUAUUAUAAUAUUUUUAAAAUAAAAUUUAAAUUAAAAUACAAUUGCAAUCAGUUAAAUACAUUUUUCAAUUUUAUUAUAUUUAUGAAAUUACGAUUUUCUUCAGUAACAAAAUGUUUUACUACCCCUCAACAGUCCAGUCCGUGCUAUAUAAACUUCUUACACAAUUCUUUAAAAAAAUAUUUGCAGGGGCUUAACCUGAUCUCAAUGUUUGUUAAAGCAUACUUCUAGCAAUAAUAACACAUACAUAUUUUUAUUAGAUUUUUUUUAUUUGAUGAUUUUACCAAAUUUGUACCAAUAAAUUCUAAGCUUUUUGAAUAAAACUGUCAUUUUUUGCUCUCUAAUAUUUAAAUGCCAGCUGAUAAAUGACUUUUUCAGUUUUAUAGAUUGUAAAAAACGUAACUAUUUUUUCAAAUACAGUCUAGACUCGAUUAUCCGAAGGUUUGUGUGGGACUUCGGAUAAUCGAAUCAUAACCAUUUUUUAUUUUCUUACUUUUAACAUUAAAUUUGGUCAAAAUUAAAUAUUUGAUUGCAUUUAUAAAAAUUAAAUAAUUUUUUUUCUAUAUUUCAUUACCGCAAUCUUGGAUUUAACAGUUCUAAAUCAUUUUAAAGCAGUUUAUGGGUAAUACUUAGGGUAAUAAUUAAGCUCAACCAUAAAAAAUAAGACAACUUAAAAACAUUUUUUUCAUGAUUCGAUUAUCCGAAGGGAAAUUUUUCCAAGGCCCUCGGAUAAUACAGUCUAGACUGUAUACAAUUUUUCACAGUUGACCCACAGACUCAUGUGCGCUUUAAAUUUGGCCCGCCAUUAAAAAAAUUUGAGCACCCCUGCACUACGGCCCUUUUGCUAAAAUUGAGCCAUUAUGAAAUAAAAUAUUAAGUUAUGGAUUCAGAGCUACCCCAAAUUGGGUAAAUACAACUCCGACAAAAAAAUCAAUAUUUUGUUUUACCGGUCUAUUAAUAUUCAACCUCAUUGACUGCCAAAACGUCAAACUUUGUUUGUAAACUUUUGGGCACUGUUCUGUGUUGCCUACUCGGAUCGCUGCAGACUGCCCGUGGUCCGGUUUAGUGGUUAAAUUUAAAUUUCGUCGCUGUCGGCUUUUUCGGAUAUGUCCGGACAAACAGUAACGGGGGAACCUCGAGGAACAAUCGAUCUGAUGCAAGCUUUUGCGGAGAGUCCUGCAGCCGCCUGUCAGCAGCAGAAGAUAAAUCUCGAACCAAAAUCGGUCGACGUUGGUGUGUAAUAUAGUGACCGGAAAAAAGCGCGGGCCUUGUCUACCACCGGAUUCACUGGAGGAUUGUGGUUGUCUUAUCGGUGGACAAUGAAGAUUGAUUUUAGUUCUAAGGUGGCGGCAACGGCGGAGAACCAGAACCUUCGUUGCUGGAAACAUCACGGUGGCGCAGGACAAGGACUUACGGCGAUAGCAGCAGGUGUUGAAAGUAAACAGAAUACCCACGCUUGGAAAAGUGAAUACCAAUUACAGAAGGAGGAGGAGCAGCAGAUGCCGGUUUAAAGACGAUGGCCAAUACGGACAAUCACAUCUCAACGACGGGCACCAAUGGGAACAGCUUCUAAUUCAUAGCUCAGAUAACGAUCAGACUGGUGCUGGGCGUCGACGGGCAGAAACACUGAUCGACGCUGCUGAAUGAAUGCCAAUGGACUACACCAAAAGGACCCACAAGGACCACCCAAACUAUUGUGUCGGGCACAUUCAACAAGUCUAAAGAAGUGCACCGGAAAAGUAACCUCACGGCGUCGCGUCGCGUCUGCUGAUGACAACAUUCAAUGAAUUAUUAAUAGAGUAAGUUAAGUAAUUUUAUUUUAAAGAGAUUUAUUCAGUUUUGCUUCUUG